AUUGUAUUUUUAUAUAUUCUAUCCUCCUCCCUUCUAUUUCUUCUCACUUUCUCUUUUCUAAUCUUACAUCUCUCUCUUAUUCAAAGCUAAAAAAAUUUACUUGUUCUAUUGAUAAUUUAUAUUUUAAAUUUGGAGAAAACUAUAUUGCAGCAGCCCGAUUCAUUUUCGGAAAUCAAGUCUUCAUAGCUUUUGAAUUUGGUAAUAUCAUUCUAAUUUCUAAUAUUAUUUUUGUUUUGUGUCUUAUGUUUAUUAUAUUUUUUAUUUGAUAUUGUAAAUAGUGUUUAAAAUAUUUGUUAGAUUUUAAUAUGUCAACUAGAAAAUAUGAAUCCGGUCAUUCAAAACUUAAAAGAAAAAGAAAAGUCGAN
rnacentral:lncRNA from 1 species